UACAGAGGGUGCAAGCGUUAAUCGGAAUUACUGGGCGUAAAGCGUGCGCAGGCGGUAAGUUAAGUCUGAUGUGAAAGCCCCGGGCUCAACCUGGGAAUGGCAUUGGAAACUGGCUUGCUGGAGUGUGGCAGAGGGGGGUGGAAUUCCGCGUGUAGCAGUGAAAUGCGGUAGAGAUGCGGAGGAACACCGAUGGCGAAGGCAGCCCCCUGGGCCAACACUGACGCUCAGGCACGAAAGCGUGGGGAGCAAAAGGG
rnacentral:rRNA from 1 species